AACUCGGUGUCUGAGAGGUUUUGUCUGCGGCUCGUCCUGCUACAAUCCCAGCACUUUGGGAGGCCAAGCCAGGCGGAUCAAGAGGUCAGGAGUUCGAGAUAGCCUGACCAGCAUGGUGAAACACUGUCUCUACUAAAAAUACAACAAUUAACUGGGCAUAGUGUCACGCAUCUGUAAUCCCACCUACUCGGGAGGUUGAGGCAGGAGAAUCACUUGACCCUGGGAGGUGAAGGUUGCAAUGAGCCGAGAUUGCGUCACUGCACUCUAGCCUGGGCGACAGAGCGAGACUCCGUUUCAAAAACAACAGCAAUAACAACAACAAAACAUAGAUAUGCAAUGGCAUGGAGACAAGGCAAGGGACUGCUUUAAUUAAGACACUUGGGAGGCAUAGCAACCAAGUAUCACGCAUGGCUCUUGUUUUGAAUCCAGAUUCCCAUAAAUCAACUGUAAGAAGAUACUUUUUUACCUUGGGGAAAUCAGCCCUGUGUCAUGAGGCAGCCCCGGUGGACAGGCCCACGUGGGUGAGUGUGAAAGAUGAUCAUGUAAGACACAGCCGCAGCCCCGGCUGGCUGCUCUGCUGCAGUCUCUGAGAGUGAGAACCACCCAGGUAAAAGAUAACCCAUGCCACCUGCCCAGGUCUUAUAGAGUCUCAUAUUCUCCACUGCUAAGUGUUUAAUUUGCAGUAGGACUCUGAUUCAGAAUAACGUGCAGCUGACUCUUGAGCAACAGGAGCUUGAACUACACAGGUCCACUUAUCCACAGAUUUUCUUCCGUCUCUGCCACCACUGAGACAGCAAGACCAACCCUCCCUUUCCCCCUCAGCCUGCUCAAUGUGAAGAUGACAACCAGGAUGAAGGCCUUUAUGAUGAUCCACUUCUUUAAUGAAUUGUAAAUAUAGUUUAUCUUAUGAUUUGCUUCCUUUUUUUUGAGACACAGUCUCGCUCUGUUGCCCAGGCUGGAGUGCAGUGGUGCCAUCUCAGCUCACUGCAACCUCCGCCUCCCAGGUUCAAGCGUUUCUCCUGCCUCAGCCUCCCA
rnacentral:lncRNA from 10 species